AAAGGGUAUAUAAUAUGAGAAAAUCGGGAUGUUCGGAGCGCCUGUGUUUGACGGCUGAUAAAUCAACACGGAAAAGCCAGGACAGAAACAGAUGAGGAACACUGUCGUCGUCAUUCUCCUCGUUCUGUGUAUGACUACGCUGACUAGGGUGGUGGCCGACUCCUUCUGUGGGACGGGUCUGGUGAGCUGUGACGGAAUGAGCAGGAUUCGCCGGGCACUGUGCAACGGGCUCUCGAUGUGUGGAGACAAACUGACCAGAGAGAAACGCGAGAUCGAGUGAAACCGACUAUAGCAGACUUGAACCUCCUUAAAAUCAAUGUGACCUUUUCAUCUUUGCACGAUAAUCAAUAUAAUGCUUUAUAGCGUGUAAUGAGUUUUGAUAGUUUCUCUGCGUUUAAAAAUAAAUGAAAGGCAAAAUAAAUAAAAGGAAAAU
rnacentral:misc_RNA from 1 species